rnacentral:rRNA from 1 species
UACAGAGGUCUCAAGCGUUGUUCGGAUUCAUUGGGCGUAAAGGGCGCGUAGGCGGUCAGCACAAGUCAGUUGUGAAAUCUCCGGGCUUAACUCGGAAAGGUCAACUGAUACUGUGCGACUAGAGUGCAGAAGGGGCAACUGGAAUCUCGGUGUAGCGGUGAAAUGCGUAGAUAUCGAGAGGAACACCUGCGGCGAAGGCGGGUUGCUGGGCUGACACUGACGCUGAUGCGCGAAAGCCAGGGGAGCGAACGGG